AGAGUUUGAUCCUGGCUCAGGAUGAACGCUAGCGACAGGCUUAACACAUGCAAGUCGAGGGGCAGCGGGGGCGAAGCUUGCUUCGCCUGCCGGCGACCGGCGCACGGGUGAGUAACACGUAUGCGACCUGCCCCCCGCAGGGGGAUAACCGGGAGAAAUCCCGACUAAUACCGCGUAACGCCGCUGGGCUGCAUGGCCCGGCGGCCAAAGGAAGCGAUUCCGGCGGGGGAUGGGCAUGCGGCGCAUUAGCUAGUCGGCGGGGUAACGGCCCACCGAGGCGACGAUGCGUAGGGGUUCUGAGAGGAAGGUCCCCCACACUGGUACUGAGACACGGACCAGACUCCUACGGGAGGCAGCAGUGAGGAAUAUUGGUCAAUGGGCGGGAGCCUGAACCAGCCAAGUCGCGUGAGGGAAGACGGUCCUACGGAUUGUAAACCUCUUUUGCCGGGGAGCAACGGGGUCCUUGCGAGGGCCCGAUGAGAGUACCCGGAGAAAAAGCAUCGGCUAACUCCGUGCCAGCAGCCGCGGUAAUACGGAGGAUGCGAGCGUUAUCCGGAUUUAUUGGGUUUAAAGGGUGCGUAGGCGGGCUGUUAAGUCAGCGGUCAAAUGUCGGGGCUCAACCCCGGCCUGCCGUUGAAACUGGCGGCCUCGAGUGGGCGAGAAGUAUGCGGAAUGCGUGGUGUAGCGGUGAAAUGCAUAGAUAUCACGCAGAACUCCGAUUGCGAAGGCAGCAUACCGGCGCCCGACUGACGCUGAGGCACGAAAGCGUGGGUAUCGAACAGGAUUAGAUACCCUGGUAGUCCACGCAGUAAACGAUGAAUGCUAGCUGUCCGGUUCUACGGGACUGGGUGGCACAGCGAAAGCGUUAAGCAUUCCACCUGGGGAGUACGCCGGCAACGGUGAAACUCAAAGGAAUUGACGGGGGCCCGCACGAGCGGAGGAACAUGUGGUUUAAUUCGAUGAUACGCGAGGAACCUUACCCGGGCUCAAACGCCAAAGGACAGCCGCUGAAAGGCGGCCUCCCUCCGGGGUCUUUGGCGAGGUGCUGCAUGGUUGUCGUCAGCUCGUGCCGUGAGGUGUCGGCUUAAGUGCCAUAACGAGCGCAACCCCCAUCGACAGUUGCUAACGGGUGAUGCCGAGGACUCUGUCGAGACUGCCGGCGCAAGCUGCGAGGAAGGCGGGGAUGACGUCAAAUCAGCACGGCCCUUACGUCCGGGGCGACACACGUGUUACAAUGGCCGGUACAGCGGGAUGCCAGGGCGCGAGCCCGAGCGGAACCCGAAAACCGGUCUCAGUUCGGAUUGGAGUCUGCAACCCGACUCCAUGAAGCUGGAUUCGCUAGUAAUCGCGCAUCAGCCACGGCGCGGUGAAUACGUUCCCGGGCCUUGUACUCACCGCCCGUCA
rnacentral:rRNA from 1 species